rnacentral:lncRNA from 10 species
UUUCUCAUCUGUCUGGAGAUUGGAUCAGUAUACCCCUAAGGUCUGUUCUGGUCCUAAAGGCUAUAAAUUGGUCAUCCUCUAAGCUCGACUGCUUUCCUGUCUGAUUCUUUUCUCUCUCACAAACAGGAACAGCUUCAGCUGCGGGGCUCCUUUACCUGCACACAUGGGCAGCUGCUGUGUCUGGCUGUGUCUUCGCCAUCUUUACUGCAUCCAUGUGGCCCCAAACACUUGGACACCUUAUUAACUCAGGGACAAACCCUGGGAAAACCAUGACCAUUGCCAUGAUAUUUUAUCUUCUAGAAAUAUUUUUCUGUGCCUGGUGCACAGCUUUUAAGUUUGUCCCAGGAGGUGUCUACGCUAGAGAAAGAUCAGAUGUGCUUUUGGGGACAAUGAUGUUAAUUAUCGGGCUGAAUAUGCUAUUUGGUCCUAAGAAAAACCUUGACUUGCUUCUUCAAACAAAAAACAGUUCUAAAGUGCUUUUCAGAAAGAGUGAAAAAUACAUGAAACUUUUUCUGUGGCUGCUUGUUGGUGUGGGAUUGUUGGGAUUAGGACUACGGCAUAAAGCCUAUGAGAGAAAACUGGGCAAAGUGG